rnacentral:lncRNA from 12 species
AGUUUCUCUUUCUGUGAAUUGCCUUCUUAUCUAGCCCCUCUUUUCCACAGGGUCACUGGUCUUUCUUCCCUUUGUAUUUUGGAAUGAACUUACUUUUAAGAGAGAAAACAAACAAGUGAACAUGAUAGUCUAUCAGGGGAGCCACGAUCAGGCCCACGGCAAUCAAGCGGAACAUCACUGAACCUGUGUAGGGCACCCAGAAGCACUGCCUUUUCUUCUUCGACUGCAGUUGAUGUUUUGCUGUGGAACAAACCGUCCCAAAAUGGGAGUGGCUGCUGAAUGAGCAGGCAUUGUGAAAUUAGAAAUACUUACACCAUAUGCUACAAUGUCUAGGCUUAAAUCUGUCAGCCUCAAGUCAGCUGUUCCAAGGCAAGAUAAGAACUUCAUGGACCAGAAUGACUGCAUGCUUCACCUGAGGUCUCACUUGGGUCUGAUUGCUUCCAUGCUCCACUGCUUCUCUCCCUGCUAAGGACAUUUAUUUGACAAAAAAUAUUUAUAUUAUAAAGUUCAAUAAAAAAUUUCCUGAUCAUUUGAAAUAAUUGGAA